GUAGUCAGCCAGACAGUCGCUCGUGCGUUCUACGCGCGGGAGGAAAGUCCGGGCUCCACAGGGCAGGGUGCCAGGUAACGCCUGGGCGGCGUGAGUCGACGGAAAGUGCAACAGAAAGUAUACCGCCGAUGGCGCUGGCGACAGUCAGCGCACAGGUAAGGGUGAAAUGGUGCGGUAAGAGCGCACCGCGCCGGUGGCAACAUGCGGUGGCGAUGGAAAACCCCACCCGGAGCAAGGCCAAAUAGGGGUGCAAUGGCGCGGCCCGCGCUGCACCCGGGUAGGCUGCUUGAGGUUUGUGGCGACGCAAAUCCCAGAUGAAUGACUGUCCACGACAGAACCCGGCUUAUCGGCUGACUACCUUU
rnacentral:RNase_P_RNA from 1 species